ACGGAAGGCAGCAGUGAGGAAUAUUGGUCAAUGGUCGGAAGACUGAACCAGCCAAGUCGCGUGCAGGAAGACGGUCCUAUGGAUUGUAAACUGCUUUUGUACGGGAAUAAAGUGGGGGACGUGUCCCCUUUGGAAUGUACCGUAAGAAUAAGGGUCGGUUAACCCCGUGCCAGCAGCCGCGGUAAUACGGAUGCCCCGAGCGUUAUCCGGAUUUAUUGGGUUUAAAGGGUGCGCAGGCGGAGGAUUAAGUCAGCGGUGCAAUUCUCAGGCUGAACAUGAGAACUGCCAUUGAUACUGGUCCCCUUGAGAGAUGUCGAGGAUGGCGGAAUGUGAUGUGUAGCGGUGAAAUGCUUAGAUAUGUCGAAGAACACCGAUUGCGAAGGCAGCUGUCCAGAGAUCAUCUGACGCUCAGGCACGAAAGCAUGGGUAGCAAACAGGAUUAGAUACCCUGGUA
rnacentral:rRNA from 1 species